UUCCCCUAGUAACUGCGAGUGAAGAGGGAAAAGCUCAAAUUUAAAAUCUGGCAGUGUGUUCACUGUCCGAGUUGUAAAUUAGAGAAGUGUUGCCCGUGUUGGACCGUGUACAAGUCUCCUGGAAUGGAGCGUCAUAGAGGGUGAGAAUCCCGUCUUUGACACGGACUCCCAAUGCAUUGUGGUGCACUCUCAAAGAGUCGUGUUGUUUGGGAAUGCAGCACUAAAUGGGUGGUAAAUUCCAUCUAAAGCUAAAUAUUGGCGAGAGACCGAUAGCGAACAAGUACCGUGAGGGAAAGAUGAAAAGAACUUUGGAAAGAGAGUUAAACAGUACGUGAAAUUGUUGAAAGGGAAACGCUUAAAGUCCAGUCGCGUUGGUUAGAAAUCAGUCUUGCUUCUGCUUGAUGUACUUUCUAAUUAAUGGGUCAACAUCAGUUUUGAGUGUUGGAUAAAGGUUGAAGGAAUGUGGCACCUUCGGGUGUGUUAUAGCCUUUGAUUGAAUACAGCGCUUGGGACUGAGGCAUCACGUCGCAAGGCGUUGGAUGUUGACAUAAUGGCUUUAAUCGACCCGUCUUGAAACACGGACCAAGGAGUCUAACAUGCUUGCGAGUAUUUGGGUGGUGAAACCCAUAUGCGCAAUGAAAGUGAAAGUUGAGAACUCAUUCGAGUGCAUCGACGCCCAUACCUGACGUUUUACUGAAAGGAUAUGCGGUAGAGCACGUAUGUUGGGACCCGAAAGAUGGUGAACUAUGCCUGAAUAGGGUGAAGCCAGAGGAAACUCUGGUGGAGGCUCGUAGCGAUUCUGACGUGCAAAUCGAUCGUCAAAUUUGGGUAUAGGGGCG
rnacentral:rRNA from 1 species